UUGGCGUCUCCGGGCGCCGGGGAGAGGCUGGUCUAACGGAGUUUAAGCCUUUUGCGGGGCUCCUAGCGGUCGUAUGUUUGUUUGCAGAAAUGAUUACGUGAGCACAGAGGGCAGAUUACAAUGAGGAAAGCAUAUUAUCCAGUUUGUGCCUUUCAAAAGUUCUUUUUCCUCUAUGAGUCACGGCAUAACCACGUUCUUGCUGGUAGGAGACACUGGCAGUUCAACUCCAGCAGGAAAAAUGUCUCCAAGCUAGGAGGAAACCUAGACCCACCCUCUGUGUGAGGCUGUGGUUAGGGAGCCCAUACGAGUCUCAGUCGACUCCUUUUGAUCCGCCCUUUGUCUUGGUAAUUCGAUCACUUGGAGCUGUGCACAUCUCUUCCUGGCAAACGUAGUAACAAAGGAAGAGCAUACCUGUGUGAGACGGUUUUCUUCAUAUACUUCAACCAAAUGCAUAUGGCAAUAGAUUCAGUGUAGAGGCAGAUGAGUGUCCGGUUGUUUUCGACCGAGCUAGACCUUAAGGAUGUCACAAAAAGAUGGCUUAUACGUUUGCAAAUGUCACCCAGGAAACUGCCUUGGAGCUGAGGCGUGUGAAACAAAGGCAAGUCCUUGAGCAGAUCCUUCAAGGAGCUUAUGGGGAGCUUCAGGGAGCUACUAAGGUCAAAACGUGGAUCCACAGUUCUUUGAGGUAAGAUAAGAUUGGUUCUGGUCCCUCCGGUACCAGUAACCUGCACCAGGAAAAUGGACUUCUGUCUUCAAGUCUGUAGCUGCGUUGGGGAUGGUAACAAGAUUCUAGAGUUCUGAAAAACUUCAUCGUGACAAUUCUUGCCGGCUUGUUCCCUGCUUUUAUGAAGGGAUGAAGGUUUGGAGUUGUCUACUCUGCUGUUUUCAGAGACGUCUGUCCUGUGGAGAGAAUGGGUGACACGGGUGUGGUAUUCCUGAUUCCAACAAAAGGACAGCAUCCGGUCCAGAUCCCUUCCCACUUCUCUGGGAGUCUUGAGAGUUGGAUGGCGAGGAGAUUUGUGGCUGAGCCCUGGAAAUCAUUGACCUGCCCCUUCUGUGGGGUCUACUCUGAGGAGCCCUAUUCCAUAACGUACGCACCUUCUGUCCAAGGCGCCUGGGCUCCUCGGUGAUGCAGACUGACAAGAGGCUUUUCAUCCACUCCGGGUGCAUUCAGUUCUCCCAGAAUAAGUAAGGCCAGGAAAGCCUGGUAGCAGGACGUUUGGCAGACCUUUCUAGAGAGUUGGACUCUGGAGUCGAGCACUGAGCAUGGGCCUUAGGUCGGCAGGUUUCUGUGUGACCGUGACAGAAAACCGGAAAAGACUCAUCUCUUCCUUUUACCUGCACUGUUUUGAAGACCUCUGCUUGACAUCUUGCAAACAACUUAUGCUUCCCCUGCCUUCAGCAUUUGGCGAGAAAGCACCAGACGGGCUAUUCAUUUCUCGCCAGCCUCUUGACAUUCCUCAGAUACGCAAGAUCCGGAUCAACACGGCCCUUGGGAGGGUGGCUGAGACGAAGGUGCUCACGCCUGCGCCAAGCCCGUGCUGCUGUAUGCUCGGCUUUUAUGUGAACGUGAACUUGGGUUCACUAACCACCACCGACUGUCUCACAUCCUCUGAGACAUGUGAGGUGUCAGAAGGGUAUGUCUGCUCCAGUCCGGUAGAGACUCCCGAGACAUUCCUCCCCGCCGCUGGCGUCCUGGCUUCUCCACUUCACUUCUGGCCGCAACGAUUAGAAGAUGGAAACGGGAGGGAGGUAGAAAUGGGAUAUAGGUGCUUGCUUGGCAUCUGCCCAUUGUCAAGGAACAUUCCCUGUGUCUUCAGAGCUCGGAUUCAGGGUUGGGAGCCUCACAGGAGGAUGUGAAGUUGUGUUAUCCGAACCCAGGACUGUUCUCCACAUGCACCGAGAGUUACAGAAGGACGGAGCCGUGAAUUGCUGCUUUAGAAGGAAACCAAAAGCUAGCCUGUGGACAGUAUCCAGGAGGAAUCUGUGUAAAAUGCCAAUGAAAAUACUCCCAGUCAAAACAUGAGGUGUGUGGGUGAGCUGCGAACAAAGAAGACGUCAUCACAUUGAAGGCUCAACGUGCCAAGCGAGAAAGAUGACCGAUAGGCAGAUGAAGCACCCAACUGCACAAGCUAAAGGCGGACUCCGAAACAGAAGGCUUUCCAAGGGAAAGUAUUUGCAAAGACAAGAAGGAAGUCAGAUUUCAGAAAGAUCUGCUCCCCCAGUAGAGAGCCUGGUAAGCAUUUGAUUCAAGAAACCAUAAAGUUAUCAAGGUUUCCAAGUUUAUAUCCGUGUGUUAAUGCUGGCAACAGACAACUUCCUUACGUGACGUUAUAGUCAAAAAGACCAAGUCAUAGUCUCAGAUGCCAACAUAACAAGAUCAGGAGCGGAAUUGCUCUUGUUUGGAAACCAGGUUUAUGGGAUGUUCGCUAUUUUAAGAGCUUGGAGACCCAAGCCAGUUAGGGUGGUCCUGUUAUUUU